rnacentral:rRNA from 1 species
UGUGAGGCAUGCUGGAGGUAUCAGAAGUGCGAAUGCUGACAUAAGUAACGAUAAAGCGGGUGAAAAGCCCGCUCGCCGGAAGACCAAGGGUUCCUGUCCAACGUUAAUCGGGGCAGGGUGAGUCGACCCCUAAGGCGAGGCCGAAAGGCGUAGUCGAUGGGAAACAGGUUAAUAUUCCUGUACUUGGUGUUACUGCGAAGGGGGGACGGAGAAGGCUAUGUUGGCCGGGCGACGGUUGUCCCGGUUUAAGCGUGUAGGCUGGUUUUCCAGGCAAAUCCGGAAAAUCAAGGCUGAGGCGUGAUGACGAGGCACUACGGUGCUGAAGCAACAAAUGCCCUGCUUCCAGGAAAAGCCUCUAAGCAUCAGGUAACAUCAAAUCGUACCCCAAACCGACACAGGUGGUCAGGUAGAGAAUACCAAGGCGCUUGAGAGAACUCGGGUGAAGGAACUAGGCAAAAUGGUGCCGUAACUUCGGGAGAAGGCACGCUGAUAUGUAGGUGAAGUCCCUCGCGGAUGGAGCUGAAAUCAGUCGAAGAUACCAGCUGGCUGCAACUGUUUAUUAAAAACACAGCACUGUGCAAACACGAAAGUGGACGUAUACGGUGUGACGCCUGCCCGGUGCCGGAAGGUUAAUUGAUGGGGUCAGCGCAAGCGAAGCUCUUGAUCGAAGCCCCGGUAAACGGCGGCCGUAACUAUAACGGUCCUAAGGUAGCGAAAUUCCUUGUCGGGUAAGUUCCGACCUGCACGAAUGGCGUAAUGAUGGCCAGGCUGUCUCCACCCGAGACUCAGUGAAAUUGAACUCGCUGUGAAGAUGCAGUGUACCCGCGGCAAGACGGAAAGACCCCGUGAACCUUUACUAUAGCUUGACACUGAACAUUGAGCCUUGAUGUGUAGGAUAGGUGGGAGGCUUAGAAGUGUGGACGCCAGUCUGCAUGGAGCCGACCUUGAAAUACCACCCUUUAAUGUUUGAUGUUCUAACGUUGACCCGUAAUCCGGGUUGCGGACAGUGUCUGGUGGGUAGUUUGACUGGGGCGGUCUCCUCCUAAAGAGUAACGGAGGAGCACGAAGGUUGGCUAAUCCUGGUCGGACAUCAGGAGGUUAGUGCAAUGGCAUAAGCCAGCUUGACUGCGAGCGUGACGGCGCGAGCAGGUGCGAAAGCAGGUCAUAGUGAUCCGGUGGUUCUGAAUGGAAGGGCCAUCGCUCAACGGAUAAAAGGUACUCCGGGGAUAACAGGCUGAUACCGCCCAAGAGUUCAUAUCGACGGCGGUGUUUGGCACCUCGAUGUCGGCUCAUCACAUCCUGGGGCUGAAGUAGGUCCCAAGGGUAUGGCUGUUCGCCAUUUAAAGUGGUACGCGAGCUGGGUUUAGAACGUCGUGAGACAGUUCGGUCCCUAUCUGCCGUGGGCGCUGGAGAACUGAGGGGGGCUGCUCCUAGUACGAGAGGACCGGAGUGGACGCAUCACUGGUGUUCGGGUUGUCAUGCCAAUGGCACUGCCCGGUAGCUAAAUGCGGAAGAGAUAAGUGCUGAAAGCAUCUAAGCACGAAACUUGCCCCGAGAUGAGUUCUCCCUGACCCUUUAAGGGUCCUGAAGGAACGUUGAAGACGACGACGUUGAUAGGCCGGGUGUGUAAGCGCAGCGAUGCGUUGAGCUAACCGGUACUAAUGAACCGUGAGGCUUAACCUU